ensembl:snoRNA U3 Small nucleolar RNA U3
AAGACCAUACUUUUAGGGAGCAUUUCUAUAGUUUCUUACUAGAGAAGUUUCUCUGAUCAUGUAGAAUACCUGAAACCACAAGGAGGGGCAUAGUGCUCCCUUCUGAGUAUGUGGCUGGCUUUUGUUGUUGCUUUGCUGCAACUGCCUAUUGCCAUUGAUGAUCCUUCUUCUCUCCGUUUUGGAGAGCAAGAAGAAAGGAACACAGUCUGCAUGGU